CAAUAGCCCCGAUGGGAGUGAAAAUCCUUUUGCGCCGGGGUUCGGCGCAAAAGAUUGAAACGAACAGCGGGAUUAAGC
rnacentral:sRNA from 1 species